rnacentral:lncRNA from 1 species
CCUCUAACCACGUGAUCUGCAGUGCUUCUCCCCCAUCCAUUCCUGAACAGUCUCUGCCUCCAUUACUUGUCCUCACCACUGCAUCUACCAUGACUGCAGUAACUAUCCCACUUACAUAUAUGAUUGCUCCUUAUCUGUUUGUUUUCCUCGCCAGGACAGAAUCUUCAUGGGGGCGGGAACAACUUGAGGACAUUUUAGAAGCACAAAACGUGCACGCUUAUAGAAAAAUGGAAUUCUGCCACCAAAAGACACCACAGAGGAGGGCAUGCUCAAAUAAGAUGCCACAUGCCAGCAAGAUGAGCUGCAGAACCAGACAGACUGAGGUGAGAAUCCAACUCUGAAAUUACAGUGUGAUUCUGUGCAAGUUCUUUCAAUUACCUGCAAUUAGGCCCCCA